rnacentral:lncRNA from 1 species
GUAUUAUCCUGGUCAUCACCAACACCAAUCAUAUGUUGAACCUAGCGUACCUCUAGUUCAUGUUUCUGGAUAUAUGCCCCCAACAUCAUCAAUCACAAGCACAAUAUCAAUCAACAAGCUUCUCUGGAUACAUGCUUCAAGGAUGUCAACAAAGUUUUCAACCAUUAGGGUUCUCAUUAUAUAUGUCUCAAUACUCAUUUCAAGUUCCUUCUACCUCAAAUGUUUUUUUAUUGAGUCUCACAAAGGUUUGACACCACUUUCAACACUCUGUCAUCUGCAUAUAAUCUGCCACUAUCGAACUCUUGUUAUCGUUCAUUAUUAUCUACUCAAAUGCAUGACAUGAGUCAUGAAGAUGAGGAGGAAGAUGAUGAUAAUAAUAAUACCAAAAAUAACGAUGAUGAUGAUGACAACGGUAACAAUCACCUGCAAAUCCAGUGCAACAAGAUGAGAGACUUCAACGCAUAUCUAGAAGAACUCGUUGUGG